ACAUUCAAAGAGGUCUUAACAUUUUAUUACUAUUUAUGGUGACUCUGGUUUUCAUGCUGCAUAGGCCUUGACUGAAAAAAGGUAAAAAUGCUUUGCAGCAUUAAGUAUUGUUGUGUCUUUGAAAACAUGUAUAUCCACUAAUGCAUCACUAUAUAGACGUAAGUGCACUCAGUGUAUUCAAAGAAAGACUCAUGGAUGCAUCUUAAUGAAUAAGUUUUAAAUAUACUGUAGCAAAGUGUUCUUGUUUAGAGGAAAAUUUAAACCCACCUUGCUGAAGCUGCUAUACUUCCAGAAAGAAUGUUUGGGUUCUAACAGUAGCUUAUGAAUUUCAGUAAGAACACCUACUUUCUCCGUACCUGAAGUUUUAAAUAACAUUUUAUAAUGUACGUUUCAAAUACUACUCUGCAUUGCUAGGUGUUUGUAACAGUUGUUGGGUAGGCCAAUAUAAAAAUCUCACCCCACUCACAAAUUAUGAAGGGCCUAGAAUGUGGUAUCUGCAUAUACUGAAAUACACAAUAACACAAAGUGUGUCUUAUUACUUUGUAGUCUCUAGCAAAUACUAUUAGACCCUUUAGAAAAUGUAAGCACAACUGAUCUACUCUAUUAAGCUGGGCAAAGCUGACAGGUACUUUUUAAAAUGACAGAAUCAGUCAUUUUACAGGAGUUAACAAAAUGUGAUCUGUACAGCUAGCUGCAUUUUCCUCAUUGUACUAUGUCAUGAAAUUUAACUACUUGAGAGAGUAAAUAUAUUUAAUGAGUCAUUUUAAUGGCAUAUGUUAUUUAUGGAGGCCCAUCAUUAAAUUAAUAUUUACUUUUACAAGCACUGCUUGCUCAAUUACCAACGCUGCUCCAAAAAUUAUAAGUCAUACGUAGAUGUUGGGUGUAACUAUAUGAUGGCAAUCAAUUUACUGUUUUUUCAUUGAAAACACACAACCAAGAGUACCUUUCCCACUUUGUUCUGGCCAAAAAUAUGACUUUAUGAUCAGCUGUUGAAGACAAUUACGUACUUUCAUGACCUUUACCUCAACAUACGUGAUGGUGGCGCAAAAGAACAUCUUAGUGCUUUGAUCGUGCAACCACUAAUUUAUGUUUUCUCAUUUUAAUCAUGCACUUUAUUCCAUUCAAGUAAGUCUCCAUUCUCCACAUGUACUUAUGACGUAUUAUUACUGCAGGUACACCUCAGAUAAACCUCACCUCAAACGUCAAAUGUAGGACACACAUCCAGCUGGAGCUCUCCUGUCUGGUGUGACAAGUAACCACAGAGCAGCUUCAAGCACGAAGAUGUGCAUGCUUCAUUUACCAGGGGCUGCAUAACGCAGGCAAGAGAGUAAUUUACAACGCACAUUUGCGGUUUUUCUGCAGGAUGGACAUUUUACAGGGACAAUCCUCGCUUUUGCUUUUCUGACUGAGAAGCAAAGUAGGGAAACAAACCGCGUUCUACUUUCGCUGUCAUUGCUGGAUAAACCUAAGGAGAAAAUGAGGGCUUUCAUGGUGGCCAGCGCUGAACCCGUGCCAUUAAUAAAGUCUCACCCAGCUCCAAUUAAUGCCUAAAAUGUAAUUCCCAGCCUGAACUAAUGCGAGAAAUAACCAUAAAAUCAGUUUCCCUCCCCCCGCCCCGCCCUCUUUACCCCUUUUCAUCCUAAUGCAAGCGGCGAGGGAAACCUUGCAGGGGCAAAGCUGCCACCUCCGUUCCCCGGCGGAGGUCCGCACGCCGCAGUCAUAACCAACACCCAGCACUGAUGCCACCGCUCGAGCGAGCCCCCGGCCCGGGAUU
rnacentral:lncRNA from 1 species